AUACGGAGGGUGCAAGCGUUACUCGGAAUCACUGGGCGUAAAGCGCGCGCAGGCGGCUAUUUAAGUUGGAUGUGAAAGCCUACGGCUCAACCGUAUAACUGCAUCCAAAACUAUUUAGCUAGAGUGUGGGAGAGGAAGAUGGAAUUAGUUGUGUAGGGGUAAAAUCCGUAGAGAUAACUAGGAAUACCAAAAGCGAAGGCAAUCUUCUGGAACACUACUGACGCUGAGGCGCGAAAGCGUGGGGAGCAAACAGGAUUAGAAACCCUAGUAGUCC
rnacentral:rRNA from 1 species